rnacentral:rRNA from 1 species
AUUGAACGCUGGCGGCAUGCUUUACACAUGCAAGUCGAACGGUAACAGGCCUUCGGGUGCUGACGAGUGGCGAACGGGUGAGUAAUGCAUCGGAACGUGCCCAGAGGUGGGGGAUAACGCAGCGAAAGCUGUCCUAAUCCCGCAUGUGAUCUGAGGAUGAAAGCGGGGGACCAAGCAGCAAUGUUUGGCCUCGCGCCUCUGGACCGGCCGAUGUCGGAUUAGGUAGUUGGUGGGGUAAAGGCCUACCAAGCCGACGAUCUGUAGCUGGUCUGAGAGGACGACAAGCCACACUGGGACUGAGACACGGCCCAGACUCCUACGGGAGGCAGCAGUGGGGAAUGUUGGACAAAGGGCGCAAGCCUGAUCCAGCAAUGCCGCGUGCGGGAAGAAGGCCUUCGGGUUGUAAACCGCUUUUGUACGGAACGAAAAGGCUCUGGCUAAUACCUGGGGCUGAUGACGGUACCGUAAGAAUAAGCACCGGCUAACUACGUG